rnacentral:lncRNA from 1 species
GAGAGAGAGAGAGAGAGAGAGAGAGAGAGAGAGAGAGAGAGAGAGAGAGAGAGAGAGAGAGAGAGUGAGAGUGAGAGUGAGAGUGAGAGUGAGAGAGAGAGAGAGAUAGAUAGAUAAUCUAGUAGCAGGAGUAAUAAGAGAAACGAGAUGAUGCUCUAGACUAUUCGUACACUUGACUUUUAAAACUGAAAGUAUAGUGUGAUGGUAUGACUGUGACAGUGGAGACAAUAAAGCAAGCCUCCAGGUGCAACUGUGCCAGUGGAGACAAUAAAGCAGGCCUCCAGGUGUGGCUGUGACAAUGGAGACAAUAAAGCAGGCCUCCAGGUGCAACUGUGCCAGUGGAGACAAUAAAGCAGGCCUCCAGGUGUGACUGUGACAAUGGAGACAAUAAAGCAGGCCUCCAGGUGCAACUGUGCCAGUGGAGACAAUAAAGCAGGCCUCCAGGUGUGACUGUGACAAUGGAGACAAUAAAGCAGGCCUCCAGGUGCAACUGUGCCAGUGGAGACAAUAAAGCAGGCCUCCAGGUGUGACUGUGCCAGUGGAGACAAUAAAGCAGGCCUCCAGGUGCAACUGUGCCAGUGGAGACAAUAAAGCAGGCCUCCAGGUGCAACUGUGCCAGUGGAGACAAUAAAGCAGGCCUCCAGGUGUGACUGUGACAAUGGAGACAAUAAAACAGGCCUCCAGGUGUGACUGUGCCAGUGGAGACAAUAAAGCAGGCCUCCAGGUGCAACUGUGCCAGUGGAGACAAUAAAGCAGGCCUCCAGGUGCAACUGUGCCAGUGGAGACAAUAAAGCAGGCCUCCAGGUGUGACUGUGACAAUGGAGACAAUAAAACAGGCCUCCAGGUGUGACUGUGCCAGUGGAGACAAUAAAGCAGGCCUCCAGAUGUGACUGUAAAGAUCACACCUGUGUGAGUAUGGCAGGAGAACAAUUUGUAAGGGAGUGGUUGUCUUUCUGGAUUUUUGUUCACAUGUCCACUACUAUACUGACCAACAUCAAUUGACAUCCUGCCUGCAAGAAUAUAAAAGAAAAUAAACUUUUAAAACAGGGAAGAAUUAUAUCUAAAGCUGUACCUGAUGUUCUGUCACUACAAUUAUUUGCAUGCAGUAAAUAGCAUGUUAUAUAUAUAAAUACAUAUUUCCUUAUCUAUUAAAAAAAUAAUUUUUGUAAGUUAAUAUAGCUGAUGGUGUAGCAUAUAUCAGUAUGUUUGGCCAAGCCAUGCAAGAGGAGCUGACAAUUUGUGUUUAUAUUAAAGUACACUCAGUGCACUCUCUCCAAAAAUAACUCUGAAGAACAAAUUAGUUGCAUUAUUUUUGUUUGCAUUACCAUUGUUCAUUCAUAAAUUUAGUUUUAUUUGGUUUACUUUGACUGUUAUUUUGUAUGUAUUUAUAAUAUACAAAGUUACAUGUGUGCCAAAGUUAUUUGAUGUGAUGGUGGAAACACUAUGGAUGGACACUUGCAAAACUAUAAGAUAAAAAAGUACAGAUGUAUUAGGUUUCUUUUUCAGACAAAUAUGGCAGCUGCAGUACCAUAACUUGGUAAAUUAAAAGAAAAAUUCUGAUAUGUUGACCCUAUACUUAUUCACCUUAAUCUUUUUCAUAAACAAGAGUGGUAAAGUGGGCCAGCUAUGGCUGUUAGAGUCUAGUAAUACUGCCCUGUGUUAGGUACUCUAAACAUAAAAACUUAACAAUUCAAUAUAACUUCAGUCAUGUCUUUUGUCAUUGGCUUCCACAGUUCUCACUUUGCAGACACAGCUCCAACUUAGUGGAAAUUAAUAAUGUAAUUGGUACUCAAAGUACACUAGAAUUUGAACGUUGGUUCAAAUUCCCGCAUUUCUCCAAAUGAUUUUCUCAAUGUAAUUGGUUUCAUAAUUUUUGUAAUGUAUUACUGUUAUAAAUCAUUAAUAUUAUUUAGCUAUGUACUGUAUGUCUAAAAAUACAUUAUCCACUAGAUAUAUGCAAAUUUGAGGCUAUAUUACUGUACCUUCAUAAUUUGUUGUUGAGUUAUGGUAAGUUAGGUGGUGACCAAGAUGCAUUGUCCUUUUAUCCAAGACCGGUGUUGGAUUUUCACACCCCUCAACACAGUAAUUCUCAGUUAUGUUAGUUAAUUACAGUGGCCCAAGCUCAAUAUGUACAUGGUUACGAUUUUCAUAAUUUAAUUUUUAUAUUACUGGUAGAUACUGUAACUUAUUAAGGAAUUUUACAUGUAGUUCUACUACUGAAAUGAAUAUUUAUGCUGAUUUCUGUGUUCACCCAUUAUUUUCUAUUCCCUGUUUUUUGCUCAAAAUCAUUUGUAAUUUAGAUUUAAGACUUAUGUGGAGAUAGAGCCCCUUGGAGAAAUUUGUGCUGUGGCCAUGGAGCUUCUGGGAAGAAGUAAGACACUGGGGCUCUAGAUAGAUUAAUAAGACUGCAUGUAAUUAUAAGAAUAUUUGCCAAGAGCAUUACAGAGUUGGUGCAAAAGAACUCAAAAUGCUUGUAUGCCAUCCAUGUCAUACUAAAUAAGGAUUACCUUUAUCUGAAGAAUAGCCUUAAGUAAAAAUGUGAAGCAGGCUGUCUAAAAUUUGAAGACUGAAAUGAAUAAAGAAUAUCUUAAAUGUA